GUGGGGAAUAUUGGACAAUGGGCGCAAGCCUGAUCCAGCCAUGCCGCGUGUGUGAAGAAGGCCUUAGGGUUGUAAAGCACUUUCAGUGGGGAGGAAGGGUGUUGUGUUAAUAGCACAGCAUUUUGACGUUACCCACAGAAGAAGCACCGGCUAACUCCGUGCCAGCAGCCGCGGUAAUACGGAGGGUGCAAGCGUUAAUCGGAAUUACUGGGCGUAAAGCGCACGCAGGCGGCUUUUUAAGUCGGAUGUGAAAGCCCCGGGCUCAACCUGGGAAUUGCAUCUGAUACUGGGAAGCUAGAGUAUGUGAGAGGUGGGUAGAAUUCCAAGUGUAGCGGUGAAAUGCGUAGAGAUUUGGAGGAAUACCAGUGGCGAAGGCGGCCCCCUGGCACAAUACUGACGCUCAGGUGCGAAAGCGUGGGGAGCAAACAGGAUUAGAAACCCCAGUAGUCC
rnacentral:rRNA from 1 species